AGAAUUUCAUGAAAGCUAUAAAGGGUUGCACUAUAUUAGUGCUACCUUUCAUCAUGUAUUUUGUUGUUCUUACUCUAAAAUACAUAGUUUUAUGUGACACAACAUGUGCUGUCGGUAAGCUCUGAACUAUAAUUUGAGUGUUUUGUUAGACAUGCCACAGCCAUCCAUAACCAAGCUUUAUGGGACUGAAAUCCUUGGUGAGAAUAUUUGGCUAAUUUCUGACGAAUCAAGGCAUCUCUUCCCUGAUUGGUCCGGGGAAAUCCACAUUGCCUGUCAAUCACCUAUCGUAGCUGAGCUCCAGCUCUGGUGCACGAGUUCAUUCCUUUGGAGGGGCAGCGUCAGGGGGCGGCAGGGGGGAAGGGGACAGUGGGUCGUCUAUGUUCUAUAUCUUACUCUCUUCUGCUCCUUUCCACUCUGCCUCCCCGUCUUUACAGCUCUUCCAUCUUACAGCAGCUCUACACUCGGAGUGAAGCCCCUGUUUCAGCUCAAGUUAAAAGAGCAUCAGAGAGCUCCGGGAGGGAUGUUGGACAAGGCGAUGAAAACACAACUCGAGUUGUGUGCAGAGAGCAACACGGGAUGGACGGGCUGAAUCAGAGCUCUUUACACGUCUGCUCUCAAAAUAAACAAUGACCCAAUGGCAGAGAUCACAAUGUUGAGGAUCAUUUAAGACAGAGAAGCAUGUUUAGAAUCCAACAGACACACGCUUGGCCUUACUGUCCCUUUAAUAGUAGAGCAUCGAGUAGAAACACAGAAGAGGGCAUAUGUUGGUUCUUCUUACUUUGUUUCAUUUCUUGUUUUCAUUUGGUUGCUAAUAAAACCACAAAAGACAAUGCAACUUAGAUGAAAGCAUAGUAGGAGUAAACAUGGAGGGAUACUUCUGAAUUAUAUAAAACCAGAUUCCAAUCUGUAUCUAUUCAUUAACAAUGAUCCUUUAGAAAAGGCCUGUAUAGAAUAGUCAAGGAAAGAAAAGGUUCCAGACUGACAGCCUUCCCAGCCCCGCCCCUCUUUCUGUCCUUGCAUUUUCGACCAAUGAAAUGCCCUUCUGUGGGUGACAUCACAAGGGAGCUCUGCUAACCUCUCAAGGUGAGGAGCUCAGGGCUCUGUGAGCGAAGAACACGACCAGGAGAGCCACCACGAGCUCCAGCCCAUGAAGACCCACCAGAGCCAUCUCACUGAGGCCCUGCAGACAGACAGACAGACAGACAGACAGACCAACCAGGACCAUCUCACCGAGGCCCUGCAGACAGACAGACAGACAGACAGACAGACCAGGGCCCCUUCAGUCUACGACUACAUACUGUGUAUCCUUUCCGUAUACGAGACACAUUAAAUGAGCAGAACAGGACCAGAGGUCUCACCAGAUAGAAGCAGACGUCGUUGGUGUGACAGGAAGGGUACGUGAAUCCUACGUAGAAGUGAAGCCCGGCCCCACCGGCCGCCACCAGCGCAGCCAGCCCGUUGGUCCACAGCGUGCCCUUCAUCUGGACAGAGGAACACUCUGAGUACACCCGGGGGGAGCACAGCUUAAGAGGCCUGGGGAGGAGGGCUCACCUUGGCAAUGCUCAGCUUCCUGUUGGUGGAGAUGGCCAUGGAGCCAGCCGUGAUGAACUACAUAAGGAAGCAAGGUUAGGAUCUCCGUCUAAAUCUCUACGUUAAUGUCAUGUUUCUAGAUAUUCAAUUUAUAUUAAAAAUAUAUAAGUAUACACAACGGUUCAAAAGUUUGAGGUCAUCCAG
ensembl:lncRNA